rnacentral:rRNA from 1 species
ACCUCUCACCUCUCCCGGUCCUCAAGCCAAACAGUAUCCCCUAGAAAGCCUGACAGUUAAGCUGCCAGAUUUCCCAAGAGACUUAUCCUGGCCGGCUACAGACCCUUUAGACCCAAUAAUAACGGUUACCACUCGAGCCGCCGGUGUUACCGCGGCGGCUGGCACCGGUCUUGCCCGGCCCUUGCUAUGACAGAUGCUUUUUAGGCAUCUCGACAGCCAACAUUAGUAACCUGGCACCCGAGAUCCCCUUAUCACGGUUGCCAGCAUUGUAAAGUUUUCGCGCCUGCUGCACCCCGUAGGGCCUGGAUUCGUGUCUCAGAAUCCAUCUCCGGGCUCUUGCUCUCACAACCCGUACCCGUCGUAGGCUAGUAGGUACGCUACACCCACUACAACCCUGAUAGGCCGCAGACCCAUCCUCAGGCGCCGGAGCUUUCAGCCAUCUCGCUGCAUUCCAGCAGCCGAGACCUAUACGGAAUUAUACCCAGUUUCCCAGGAUUAUACCCAACCCAAGGGCAGGUUGUCCACGUGUUACUGAGCAGUACGCCAUGUAUUGCCACAUUCGACUCGCAUGGCUUAGUCGAACCUCGAUAGCAGUAACCUCUGGCAG